UCUAAGCCAUGCGAGUCGAGAGGUGCAAGACCUCGGCAUACUGCUCAGUAACACGUGGACAACCUAACCUAUGGAGGGGGAUAACCCCGGGAAACUGGGGAUAAUACCCCAUAGACUAUGGAUGCUGGAAUGCUCUGUAGUUGAAAGGUCCGCCGCCACAGGAUGGGUCUGCGGCCGAUUAGGUUGUUGUUGGGGUAACGGCCCAACAAGCCUGUAAUCGGUACGGGUUGUGGGAGCAAGAGCCCGGAGAUGGAUUCUGAGACACGAAUCCAGGCCCUGCGGGGCGCAGCAGGCGCGAAAACUUUACAAUGCGGGAAACCGUGAUAAGGGAACUCCGAGUGCCCGUAAAAUCGGGCUGUCCAUCUGUUUAAAUAACAGGUGAAGAAAGGGCCGGGCAAGACCGGUGCCAGCCGCCGCGGUAAUACCGGCGGCUCGAGUGGUGGCCACUAUUACUGGGCUUAAAGCGUUCGUAGCUGGUUUGUUAAGUCUCUGGGGAAAUCUGCCGGCUCAACCGGCAGGCGUUCCAGGGAUACUGGCAGACUAGGGACCGGGAGAGGUGAGGGGUACUCCAGGGGUAGGAGUGAAAUCCUGUAAUCCUUGGGGGACCACCUGUGGCGAAGGCGCCUCACCAGAACGGCUCCGACAGUGAGGGACGAAAGCUGGGGGAGCAAACCGGAUUAGAUACCCGGGUAGUCCCAGCCGUAAACGAUGCGCGUUAGGUGUAUCGGUGACCACGAGUCACCGAGGUGCCGAAGAGAAAUCGUGAAACGUGCCGCCUGGGAAGUACGGUCGCAAGGCUGAAACUUAAAGGAAUUGGCGGGGGAGCACCACAACAGGUGGAGCCUGCGGUUUAAUCGGACUCAACGCCGGAAAUCUCACCGGAUAAGACAGCUGGAUGAUAGUCGGGCUGAAGACUCUACUUGACUAGCUGAGAGGAGGUGCAUGGCC
rnacentral:rRNA from 1 species